rnacentral:rRNA from 1 species
UACGUAGGGUGCAAGCGUUGUCCGGAAUUAUUGGGCGUAAAGAGCUCGUAGGCGGUCUGUCGCGUCGGCUGUGAAAACCCGGAGCUCAACUCCGGGCCUGCAGUCGAUACGGGCAGACUGGAGUUCGGCAGGGGAGACUGGAAUUCCUGGUGUAGCGGUGAAAUGCGUAGAUAUCUGGAGGAACACCGGUGGCGAAGGCGGCAUCCUGGACCGACACUGACACUGAGGAGCGAAAGCCAGGGGAGCAAACGGG